AGAGAAUGAGGUUCCCUUAUUAUGUCAACAGGUUGGUGCUCCAUUGAUAGAGAAUGAGGUUCCCUUAUUAUGUCAACAGGUUGGUGCUCCAUUGAUAGAGAAUGAGGUUCCCUUAUAAUGUCAACAGGUUGGUGCUCCAUUGAUAGAGAAUGAGGUUCCCUUAUAAUGUCAACAGGUUGGUGCUCCAUUGAUAGAGAAUGCGGUUCCCUUAUUAU
rnacentral:lncRNA from 1 species